AUUGAACGCUGGCGGCAGGCCUAACACAUGCAAGUCGAGCGGAUGAAGGGAGCUUGCUCCUGGAUUCAGCGGCGGACGGGUGAGUAAUGCCUAGGAAUCUGCCUGGUAGUGGGGGAUAACGUCCGGAAACGGGCGCUAAUACCGCAUACGUCCUGAGGGAGAAAGUGGGGGAUCUUCGGACCUCCCGCUAUCUGAUGAGCCUAGGUCGGAUUAGCUAGUUGGUGGGGUAAAGGCCUACCAAGGCGACGAUCCGUAACUGGUCUGAGAGGAUGAUCAGUCACACUGGAACUGAGACACGGUCCAGACUCCUACGGGAGGCAGCAGUGGGGAAUAUUGGACAAUGGGCGAAAGCCUGAUCCAGCCAUGCCGCGUGUGUGAAGAAGGUCUUCGGAUUGUAAAGCACUUUAAGUUGGGAGGAAGGGCAGUAAGUUAAUACCUUGCUGUUUUGACGUUACCAACAGAAUAAGCACCGGCUAACUUCGUG
rnacentral:rRNA from 1 species